CAGCAGCCGCGGUAACACAGAGGAUGCAAGCGUUAUCCGGAAUGAUUGGGCGUAAAGCGUCUGUAGGUGGCUUUUCAAGUCCGUUGUGAAAGCCCUGGGCUCAACCUGGGAAUUGCAGUGGAUACUGGGUCACUAGAGUGUGGUAGAGGAUAGUGGAAUUUCCGGUGUAGCAGUGAAAUGCGUAGAGAUCGGAAGGAACAUCUGUGGCGAAGGCGACUAUCUGGGCCAACACUGACACUGAGGCACGAAAGCGUGGGGAGCAAACAGGAUUAGAUACCCCUGUAGUCCCUGUCUCUAUACC
rnacentral:rRNA from 1 species